rnacentral:rRNA from 1 species
CAGCAGCCGCGGUAAUACGGAGGGUGCAAGCGUUGUCCGGAUUUAUUGGGUUUAAAGGGUGCGUAGGCGGUCUGGUAAGUCGGCGAUGAAAGCCCGGGGCUCAACCCCGGAACUGUCGUCGAUACUGUCGGACUUGAGUGAGGUGGAGGCUGGCGGAAUGGGCGGUGUAGCGGUGAAAUGCAUAGAUACCGUCCAGAACCCCGAUUGCGAAGGCAGCUGGCUGUACCUUUACUGACGCUGAGGCACGAAAGCGUGGGGAGCGAACAGGAUUAGAUACCCUGGUAGUCCACGCCGUAAGCGAUGGAUACUCGUCGUGGGCGAUAGACAGUCCGCGACUAAGCGAAAGCGGUAAGUAUCCCACCUGGGGAGUACGCCGGCAACGGUGAAACUCAAAGGAAUUGACGGGGGCCCGCACAAGUGGUGGAGCAUGUGGUUUAAUUCGAUGAUACGCGAGGAACCUUACCUGGGCUAGAAUGUGCGUGAAG